rnacentral:rRNA from 1 species
UACGUAGGGUGCGAGCGUUGUCCGGAAUUAUUGGGCGGAAAGGGCUCGUAGGCGGUUUGUCGCGUCGGGAGUGAAAUCCACUGGCUUAACUGGUGGCUUGCUUUCGAUACGGGCAGACUGGAGGUAUGCAGGGGAGAACGGAAUUCCUGGUGUAGCGGUGAAAUGCGCAGAUAUCAGGAGGAACACCGGUGGCGAAGGCGGUUCUCUGGGCAUGUCCUGACGCUGAGGAGCGAAAGUGUGGGGAGCGAACAGG